UACAACCGUGCAUCUCUGAAAAGCAGACGUGGAGCCUCCUGCACAAACAACAAGAAAUGCAGGAAGUCGUUUCUGGCUGGUAAGUCAACAACAAAACACUCGUGUAUUCCAGCAGCCAUUGUACAGCUUGUAAAAAACAUUCUGGAGCUCAGCUUUAGUUGCUAGGUAACGGCGUAGUGCCCAACAAAUGUGACUUAAUAAUUAGGAGGAUUUUGAAAAGGCUAUUUUUCCAGACACCAAAAUAAACAAGUAACUUAUUGCCAGAAAAUGUCUGAAAGUUUUUUUAAGUGCUCUGAAUGUUUUUAGAAGCAGUUCAGACCCAAAUGGAAGUACAAAAGUUUUUCCUUUUUAAAGGAACGAGAAGAAAAAGGACAGAAAUUUCCAAUCAGUAAAUUAACACUUACCAUCUAAAAGAUCACACCUGUGCCAUUCUGAGAUUCCCAAACAAAGUGGCCGCUCCUCACCAACAGAGUUAUUUCUUUCCUCUUCCUCACUAAACUCUUCCUCUUCCUCACCCCAAAGCCUUAAAAACUGAAAUCUGCCGUCUGAAGUCAUUUCUACGGCCGAUUCUCUCUGCUCAGGUUUUACAGCUUCCUCUGCGUUCGUGUCCUGCCUGUCUCGUCUGAGCUCUUAUCUCCUCGUCACUCUCAAAUCUGUUUGUACCAAAACAGGAAGAGAAAUUCCUCCUUUCCCUCUUUACUCACAGGCCUGUUUAGAGAAGAUACAGGCUAAACAUUUUUCUGCUUUUCCAUCUUGAAAAAGCUUGAAAAACCGGAAAAAACAAAAAUGAUUUUUACAAAUGUUUCCUAGAAAACUUAGAAAAGAGUUUUAAAAAUGGGAGAACAUUUUUACCCAUUGGGGAAAAAUUCAGAAGUGAUUGAGAAAAAAACAUUUAUGAGGUCACCUAAAUCACAUUUAUGGUGCUAGCAGAGAAAACAUAAACAGUAAAGAUUUCUAAAGAUGAAAUAACAUGCUUAAGAAAAAUACUUGACUGAAGCAUCGUCUCAAAUAACCCUUUAUUCAUUUAUUUAGAAUCAGAAAAAAUCAUCGGUAUCAGGCAGAUAUGCAGAAGCAGUCACACCGACCAGCACCAGAAAUUAUUGACACCUUCACCGUUAUCUGUUCUGCUAAAAGCUCUGAAUUCAUAACAUCAGCAGCUUCAUGUUCGUACGCUCACUCCAGCUUCAUUUAAAAAUAAAUGCAACACCUGAGCUUCUUUUUGUUCGCGUCACAAAGUAAUAUAUUUACUUGUUGAUCUGUAGGACAGUGCAGUCAAAAAAUGUGAAUAAACUCGAUAAAAAGCAGAUUUUAGUGUUCUGAAAAAUAUAAGACCAACAUAAUCCAUUUGAAACCUUUUUCCACAAAACUGAUUCUGAACUGAAACUAAAACAUCCAAAAGGUUUUGGUCCAAAACCGGCUCAUAUUUACGACUGUUCAUACUUUGAAAACACAAACUCCAUUUGAAGAAAAGUAACACAGGACAUGAUUCUGCCACCACCAUGCUUCAUGAAGUAUGUUUAUAGUGACAUUUUUCUGUAACUGUUAUAAUAAAACAGCCAGAUGAGUCUGUACAAUUUCCCUUUUCGGGAAUGUAAAAAAGAGUAACUGAAAAGUAACUUUUCCUUCCACUUGUGAGAUGUAUUAUAAAACAUUUAACAUAGUGGGGGAAAAAAUCAAACUGUUGGGUGAACAGUUUGUAUGAGAUAUGGAUAUAAAUGACAGAAUCUGAGUAUAAAGGAGUAAAAUAGACUCAACUGACAAAUGACCACUUGGAAAAAAAAAAACAAGUUUUUUUUUUUUUUCUUUGUAGGCCUCAAACUAAAAAAAUACUUUAUUGUAACUAUUAGGAUUGUUUCUCUUUUGACACGAAACAAAUUUCUUUAAACUCAUCAUAAAAUCUAACAAUGCAAGAGCCACUUGAAUCUAUUCCCACUAGAAGUUUCUAUCAGUAGUUUUGAUAUAAACGUUCUGGACCUCAGCUUGGGUUGCUAGGUAACGGGCUGAGCUCGGGUGGGGUUGCUAGGUGACGGGCUGAGCUCGGGUGGGGUUGUUAGGUAACGGGCUGAGCUCAUUUUGGGUUGCUAGGUAACAGGCUGAGCUCUGGUGGGGUUGCUAGUAGUGCCUACUGAAUGUGACUUAUAAAUGUGCACUUCUAAGCUUCUCCAGUAGUAGGCGUCUACUUUGUUUAGCAAUGAA